UACGGAGGGUGCAAGCGUUAUCCGGAUUCACUGGGUUUAAAGGGUGCGUAGGUGGAUUAGUAAGUCAGUGGUGAAAUCUCUGGGCUUAACCCGGAAACUGCCAUUGAUACUAUUAGUCUUGAAUACCGUGGAGGUCAGCGGAAUAUGUCAUGUAGCGGUGAAAUGCUUAGAUAUGACAUAGAACACCCAUUGCGAAGGCAGCUCGCUACACUAUUAUUGACGCUGAGGCACGAAAGCGUGGGGAUCAAACAGG
rnacentral:rRNA from 1 species